UCCGUAGGCGGACUAAUAAGUCAGGGGUGAAAUCCCACAGCUCAACUGUGGAACUGCCUUUGAUACUGUUAGUCUUGAGUUAUAUGGAAGUAGAUAGAAUGUGUAGUGUAGCGGUGAAAUGCUUAGAGAUUACACAGAAUACCGAUUGCGAAGGCAGUCUACUACGUAUAUAUUGACGCUAAUGGACGAAAGCGUGGGGAGCGAACCGGAUUAGAUACCCGUGUAGUCC
rnacentral:rRNA from 1 species